AGCGAACGCUGGCGGCAGGCCUAACACAUGCAAGUCGAACGAACUCUUCGGAGUUAGUGGCGGACGGGUGAGUAACACGUGGGAACGUGCCUUUAGGUUCGGAAUAACUCAGGGAAACUUGUGCUAAUACCGAAUGUGCCCUUCGGGGGAAAGAUUUAUCGCCUUUAGAGCGGCCCGCGUCUGAUUAGCUAGUUGGUGAGGUAAAGGCUCACCAAGGCGACGAUCAGUAGCUGGUCUGAGAGGAUGAUCAGCCACAUUGGGACUGAGACACGGCCCAAACUCCUACGGGAGGCAGCAGUGGGGAAUCUUGCGCAAUGGGCGAAAGCCUGACGCAGCCAUGCCGCGUGAAUGAUGUAGGUCUUAGGAUUGUAAAAUUCUUUCACCGGGGACGAUAAUGACGGUACCCGGAGAAGAAGCCCCGGCUAACUUCGUG
rnacentral:rRNA from 1 species